GAUGAACGCUGGCGGCGUGCCUAAUACAUGCAAGUCGAGCGAACGGACGAUAAGCUUGCUUCUCUGAUGUUAGCGGCGGACGGGUGAGUAACACGUGGAUAACCUACCUAUAAGACUGGGAUAACUUCGGGAAACCGGAGCUAAUACCGGAUAAUAUUUUGAACCGCAUGGUUCAAAAGUGAAAGACGUUCUUGCUGUCACUUAUAGAUGGUUCCGCGCUGCAUUAUCUAGUUGGUAAGGUAACGGCUUACCAAGGCAACGAUGCAUAGCCGACCUGAGAGGGUGAUCGGCCAAACUGGAACUGAGACACGGUCCAGACGCCUACGGGAGGAAGCAGUAGGGAAUAUUCCGCAAUGGGCGAAAGCCUGACGGAGCAACGCCGCGUGAGUGAAGAAGGUCUUCGGAUCGUAAAACUCUGUUAUUAGGGAAGAAAAGAAGUGUAAGAAAAUGUGGACAUCUUGACGGUACCAAAUCAGAAAGCAACGGCUAACUACGUG
rnacentral:rRNA from 1 species